CAGUCGCCACGGUAAAACGGAGGGUGCGAGCGUUAAUCGGAAUUACUGGGCGUAAAGCGUACGCAGGCGGUUUGUUAAGUCAGAUGUGAAAUCCCCGAGCUUAACUCGGGAACUGCAUUUGAAACUGGCAGGCUAGAGUCUCGUAGAGGGGGGUAGAAUUCCAGGUGUAGCGGUGAAAUGCGUAGAGAUCUGGAGGAAUACCGGUGGCGAAGGCGGCCCCCUGGACGAAGACUGACGCUCAGGUACGAAAGCGUGGGGAGCAAACAGGAUUAGAUACCCGCGUAGUCCCUGGUCUCUUAUU
rnacentral:rRNA from 1 species